rnacentral:piRNA from 1 species
CUUCCUAUUUCACACCUUUGGGC